AAUUUAAUAAACUAGGGCCAAAUAAAUGUGUUGUGUGAUAGUAAUUUGCUACUUAUUCAGUUUUAAACGCAAAAUAAAAAAAGGGUUAAAUAUUAGGAAAGUUAACUUCCGGUUUCCUGUGUCACGUGACGUCACUUACCUCUCUAACCAAACAGAAUUGAACGUCACAGUUGUUUUUUUUUGGCGACCGCAUUCUCUUUUCUACAACAAUGACUUCUGUCGUGGAAACAAACGUGGAGUUGGAGAUUUACACCAUAACGCCACAAGAGAGCAGCAGACGACCAAUAACCAACUGCACAACUACGGAGAAGUGAUUGUAAUGGAUUUAACAAAUUUCCCGUUGAACAAAAUGGCUAACAUCUGCAAGCAUGGCACAGAGCAACUUGAAAGCAUCAAGUGAUGAAAAAUCCAUUGUUUUCAUCAUCAACGCCAACAUGAGUGUGAGUGGCUUCAAGGGGCAGCUAGUGGUGAGUAUAAGGAAAGGCGAGGGGAAGACAGACAAAUCCUUUUACACGUUCACGUCGCUGUGCAGACAGACAAGUCUAGCUCAGUGGCCUUGUGGUUAGAGUGUCCGCCCUGAGACUGGGAGGUCGUGAGUUCAAAUCCCAGCCGAGGAUUACCAAAGACUAUAAAAAUGGGACCCAUUGCCUCCCUCAGCACUCACUCAGCAUCAAGGGUUGGAAUUGGGGGUUAAAUCACCAAAUGAUUCCUGAGCAUGUCACACGCUGCUGCUCACUGCUCCCCUCACCUCCCAGGGGGUGAACAUGGGGAUUGGUCAAAUGCAGAGGACGAAUUUCACCAAACCUAGUGUGUGCGUGUGUGUGUGUGACUAUCGUUGGAACAUUUGAUGCAAAAGUCACAUGUAAAAAGGCAGCCAAUAGAGGGUGCCUGGCUGACUUGUUAACAAAGUUUUACUUAUAUGUACAUAAGAUAUUAAACAAAGAUAGAUGUGGUUUGUUUGAAACAUCAUUUUUAAUUUUUUUUAUUGUUUUAAUGCACCUAAUUCAACUACAUUUCCAUCAUUGA